rnacentral:rRNA from 1 species
UGGGGGCAACCCUGAUCCAGCAAUGCCGCGUGUGUGAAGAAGGCCUUCGGGUUGUAAAGCACUUUUGUCCGGAAAGAAAGCUUCGGGGCUAAUACCUCUGGAGGAUGACGGUACCGGAAGAAUAAGCACCGGCUAACUACGUGCCAGCAGCCGCGGUAAUACGUAGGGUGCAAGCGUUAAUCGGAAUUACUGGGCGUAAAGCGUGCGCAGGCGGUUCGCUAAGACCGAUGUGAAAUCCCCGGGCUUAACCUGGGAACUGCAUUGGUGACUGGCGGGCUAGAGUAUGGCAGAGGGGGGUAGAAUUCCACGUGUAGCAGUGAAAUGCGUAGAGAUGUGGAGGAAUACCGAUGGCGAAGGCAGCCCCCUGGGCCAAUACUGACGCUCAUGCACGAAAGCGUGGGGAGCAAACAGGAUUAGAUGCCCUGGUAGUCCACGCCCUAAACGAUGUCAACUAGUUGUCGGGCCUUCAUUGACUUG